rnacentral:tRNA from 1 species
CCCUCGCCGGCUCAGUUGGUGGAGCCUGUGACUCUUGAUCUCAGGGUUGUGGGUUUGAGCCCCACGUUGGGGG